rnacentral:rRNA from 1 species
AGAGUUUGAUCCUGGCUCAGAACGAACGCUGGCGGCGUGCCUAACACAUGCAAGUCCAACGUGAAAGGGGAGCAAUCCCCCGGUAGGGUGGCAAACGGGUGAGUAAUACAUGGGUGAUCUACCUUAGGGAUGGGGAUAUCCUUCCGAAAGGAGGGGCAAUACCGAAUAUUGUCCGGAACCGUGAAGGGUUUCGGGGAAAGGGAGGCCUCUGACACAAGCUUUCGCCUUAAGAUGAGCCCAUGGCCCAUCAGCUAGUUGGUAGGGUAAAGGCCUACCAAGGCUACGACGGGUCGCUGGUCUGAGAGGACGACCAGCCACACUGGCACUGAGAUACGGGCCAGACUCCUACGGGAGGCAGCAGUGAGGAAUAUUGCGCAAUGGGGGAAACCCUGACGCAGCAACGCCGCGUGUGGGAAGAAGGCCUUCGGGUCGUAAACCACUUUUACUCGGGACGAAAAAGGGAUAUCAAAUAAAUAUCCCCGAUGACGGUACCGGGAGAAUAAGCCACGGCUAACUCUGUGCCAGCAGCCGCGGUAAGACGGAGGUGGCAAGCGUUGUUCGGAAUUACUGG